UACGUAGGGGGCAAGCGUUGCUCGGAAUCAUUGGGCGUAAAGCGCACGUAGGCGGCCCGGUAAGUCGGAUGUGAAAGCCCUCGGCUCAACUGAGGAAGUGCAUUCGAAACUGCCAGGCUUGAAUAUGGAAGAGGGUCGCGGAAUUCCCGGUGUAGAGGUGAAAUUCGUAGAUAUCGGGAGGAACACCAGUGGCGAAGGCGGCGACCUGGGCCAAUAUUGACGCUGAGGAGCGAAAGCGUGGGGAGCGAACAGG
rnacentral:rRNA from 1 species